rnacentral:rRNA from 1 species
GGCGGCAGGCUACACAUGCAGUCGAGCGGUAGCACAGAGAGCUUGCUCUCGGGUGACGAGCGGCGGACGGGUGAGUAAUGUCUGGGAAACUGCCUGAUGGAGGGGGAUAACUACUGGAAACGGUAGCUAAUACCGCAUAAUGUCGCAAGACCAAAGUGGGGGACCUUCGGGCCUCAUGCCAUCAGAUGUGCCCAGAUGGGAUUAGCUAGUAGGUGGGGUAACGGCUCACCUAGGCGACGAUCCCUAGCUGGUCUGAGAGGAUGACCAGCCACACUGGAACUGAGACACGGUCCAGACUCCUACGGGAGGCAGCAGUGGGGAAUAUUGCACAAUGGGCGCAAGCCUGAUGCAGCCAUGCCGCGUGUGUGAAGAAGGCCUUCGGGUUGUAAAGCACUUUCAGCGGGGAGGAAGGCGGUGAGGUUAAUAACCUUAUCGAUUGACGUUACCCGCAGAAGAAGCACCGGCUAACUCCGUGCCAGCAGCCGCGGUAAUACGGAGGGUGCAAGCGUUAAUCGGAAUUACUGGGCGUAAAGCGCACGCAGGCGGUCUGUCAAGUCGGAUGUGAAAUCCCCGGGCUCAACCUGGGAACUGCAUUCGAAACUGGCAGGCUAGAGUCUUGUAGAGGGGGGUAGAAUUCCAGGUGUAGCGGUGAAAUGCGUAGAGAUCUGGAGGAAUACCGGUGGCGAAGGCGGCCCCCUGGACAAAGACUGACGCUCAGGUGCGAAAGCGUGGGGAGCAAACAGGAUUAGAUACCCUGGUAGUCCACGCCGUAAACGAUGUCGAUUUGGAGGUUGUGCCCUUGAGGCGUGGCUUCCGGAGCUAACGCGUUAAAUCGACCGCCUGGGGAGUACGGCCGCAAGGUUAAAACUCAAAUGAAUUGACGGGGGCCCGCACAAGCGGUGGAGCAUGUGGUUUAAUUCGAUGCAACGCGAAGAACCUUACCUGGUCUUGACAUCCACAGAACUUACCAGAGAUGGAUUGGUGCCUUCGGGAACUGUGAGACAGGUGCUGCAUGGCUGUCGUCAGCUCGUGUUGUGAAAUGUUGGGUUAAGUCCCGCAACGAGCGCAACCCUUAUCCUUUGUUGCCAGCGGUUCGGCCGGGAACUCAAAGGAGACUGCCAGUGAUAAACUGGAGGAAGGUGGGGAUGACGUCAAGUCAUCAUGGCCCUUACGACCAGGGCUACACACGUGCUACAAUGGCAUAUACAAAGAGAAGCGACCUCGCGAGAGCAAGCGGACCUCAUAAAGUAUGUCGUAGUCCGGAUUGGAGUCUGCAACUCGACUCCAUGAAGUCGGAAUCGCUAGUAAUCGUAGAUCAGAAUGCUACGGUGAAUACGUUCCCGGGCCUUGUACACACCGCCCGUCACACCAUGGGAGUGGGUUGCAAAAGAAGUAGGUAGCUUAACCUUCGGGAGGCGCUACCACUUUG